GGGGGCGUGGCAGAGUGGACGAAUGCGCUGGUCUUGAAAACCAGAGGCGGUAAAACGCCCGUAGGUUCGAAUCCUACCGCCCCCGCCC
rnacentral:tRNA from 1 species